rnacentral:rRNA from 1 species
UAGUCCACGCCGUAAACGAUGGAUACUAGCUGUUCGUGCCACAUUGGUGGCAUGAGUGGCCAAGCGAAAGUGAUAAGUAUCCCACCUGGGGAGUACGUUCGCAAGAAUGAAACUCAAAGGAAUUGACGGGGGCCCGCACAAGCGGUGGAGCAUGUGGUUUAAUUCGAUGAUACGCGAGGAACCUUACCAAGGCUUAAAUGCAUGUUGACAGAUUUGGAGACAGAUUUUUCUUCGGACAAUAUGCAAGGUGCUGCAUGGUUGUCGUCAGCUCGUGCCGUGAGGUGUCAGGUUAAGUCCUAUAACGAGCGCAACCCCUGUUGUUAGUUACCAGCAAGAAAGAUCGGGACUCUAAGAAACUGCCUGCGAAAGCAGUGAGGAAGGAGGGGAUAAAGUCAAGUCAUCAUGGCUCUUACGCCUAGGGCUACACACGUGUUACAAUGGCGUGUACAGCGAGUCGCUACUUGGCAACAAGAUGCUAAUCUCUC